rnacentral:rRNA from 1 species
AUGGUGGCCGGGAUGCGCUUCCUGCAGCUGUUCGCGGUGGUUCUCGCGUUCUCCUUCGUGCCCGCCAAGUUCGGCUACUGGCUCCCGGCCCAUGCCACCUUCUACGGCGGCGCCGACGGCUCGGACACAAUGGGUGGCGCAUGUGGGUACGAGAACCUGUACAACGCGGGGUACGGGAUCAACAAUGCGGCGCUGAGCACGGCGCUCUUCAACAAUGGCUUGUCGUGCGGGCAGUGUUACCUCAUCACCUGUGACACCAGCAAGUCGAACAUGUGCAAGCCCGGCACGUCCAUCACCGUCUCCGCCACCAACUUCUGCCCUCCCAACUGGGCUCUCCCAGCGACAACGGAGGCUGGUGCAACCCUCCACGUGUCCACUUCGACAUGUCCCAGCCCGCCUGGGAGAACCUCGCCAUCUACCGCGCCGGCAUCGUCCCCGUCCUUUACCAGCAGGUCGCGUGCCAGAGGCAGGGCGGCCUGCGCUUCACCAUUAACGGCUUCAACUACUUUGAGCUCGUGCUGGUGA